GAAUGUGAAGGUGACUUGCGAUGUGUCUGUCACCCAUGGGUCGCCAGGGGCGGGAGUUGGGAGAGAAUUUGGCUGACGUAGCUGACUAGACCAAUACUCCCUCCCUCCCUCGAUUCUCUAUCUCUGUCCCUCUAGAACUUUGGUUGUUCAAAGAGAAUGACCUCUGCCAGUAGAGGUCAAGGGUAUAUGAGUAGGUGAGUUCGCCUUCCAGAAUCUACAAACAAGCUCAAACAAACCUUCCCCGGGUUCGUCUGUCUAGGUCAGAAAUGCCAGCUGCUGCUUUAUGGAAGACUCUGGCCUUUCUU
rnacentral:snRNA from 1 species